GAUGAACGCUGGCGGCGUGCCUAAUACAUGCAAGUCGAGCGAACGGACGAGAAGCUUGCUUCUCUGAUGUUAGCGGCGGACGGGUGAGUAACACGUGGAUAACCUACCUAUAAGACUGGGAUAACUUCGGGAAACCGGAGCUAAUACCGGAUGAUAUUUUGAACCGCAUGGUUCAAAAGUGAAAGACGGUCUUGCUGUCACUUAUAGAUGGAUCCGCGCUGCAUUAGCUAGUUGGUAAGGUAACGGCUUACCAAGGCAACGAUGCAUAGCCGACCUGAGAGCGUGAUCGGCCACCCUUGAACUGAACCCCGGACCGGACUCCUGCGGGAGGCAGCAGCAGGGAAUCUUCCGCAAUGGUCUAAGGCCUGACGAACCAACUCCGCAGGAGUGAUGAAGGUCUUCGGAUCGUAAAACUCUCUUGUUAGGGAAGAACAAAUGUGUAAGUAACUGUGCCCAUCUUGACGGUACCGAAUCAGAAAGCCACGGCUAACUACGUG
rnacentral:rRNA from 1 species